rnacentral:rRNA from 1 species
GAUGAGCGCUGGCGGCGUGCUUAACACAUGCAAGUCGAGCGAUGAAGUUUCCUUCGGGAAACGGAUUAGCGGCGGACGGGUGAGUAACACGUGGGUAACCUGCCUCAUAGAGUGGAAUAGCCUUCCGAAAGGAAGAUUAAUACCGCAUAACGUUGAAAGAUGGCAUCAUCAUUCAACCAAAGGAGCAAUCCGCUAUGAGAUGGACCCGCGGCGCAUUAGCUAGUUGGUGGGGUAACGGCCUACCAAGGCGACGAUGCGUAGCCGACCUGAGAGGGUGAUCGGCCACAUUGGGACUGAGACACGGCCCAGACUCCUACGGGAGGCAGCAGUGGGGAAUAUUGCACAAUGGGGGAAACCCUGAUGCAGCAACGCCGCGUGAGUGAUGAAGGUUUUCGGAUCGUUAAGCUCUGUCUUUGGGGAAGAUAAUGACGGUACUCAAGGAGGAAGCCACGGCUAACUACGUGCCAGCCGCCGCCGUAA